AAUUUUAGAAUUUGACUGCCCUGCUGGAUUUCCAACUUGCAUGGGCCCUGUAACCCCUUUGUUUUGGUCAAUUUCUUCAAUUCAGAAUUGCUGUAUUUACACAAUACUUGUAUCCUGAUUGUAUCUAGGUAGUAACUAGCUUGCUUUUGAUUUUACAGGCUCGUAGGCAGAAGGGAUUUGCCUUGUCUCACAUGAGACUUUAAACUGUGGAGUUUUGGGUUAAUACUGAAACGAGUUAAGAUUUUGGGGGACUUUGGGAAGGCAUGAUUUUUUUUGAAAUGUGAGGACAUGAGGUUUGGAGGGGCCAGGGGUGAAAUGAUACGGUUUGGCUCGGUGUUCCCACCCAAAUCUCAUCUUGAAUUGUACUCCCAUAAAUCCCACAUGUUGUGGGAGGGACCCAAUCAGAGAUAGUUUGAAUCUUGGGAGCGGUUUCCCCCAUACUGUUUUCAUGAUAGUGAGUAAGUCUCAUGAGAUCUGAUGGUUUUAUCAGGGGUUACCGCUUUUGCAUCUUGCUCAUUUUUUCUCUUGCUACUGCCAUGUAAGAAGUGCCUUUCGCCUUCCACCAUGAUCCUGAGGCCUCCCCAGCCAUAUGGAACUGUGCGGAAACAGAGGCACAAAGAAAUAACCUUCAUUUCAGGAAGAACAACCAGUGGACUGUUUUUAGUGCCAGAGUCAAGACGACGUCUUCUGAUUCCACCUGAUACUUAUUCCAUAUACAAAUAGCAAGAACAAUGUCUUAAUACUUUUGAUUCUCUUACCCAGCAAAGGGUCCUUAGUAGACGUGAGCAAGAACAUGUCUAUUUCAAUAAACAAACAAGUAAACAAAUAAAAUCUAUCAUGUUAUGAAACAAUAAAAGAGCUUGGUGGAUAUAGAAUGGGGAAAAGAGAAUUAGUUUUGAGUCAAAAUAUCUGGAUAUGAGUCUUUGUUAUGCAGUUAAAUCAUUCACCAAAUAUCAUUGAGAGCUCGAUUCUGUCAGGCUCUCUGACACAUAAAAAAAAAAAAAUAGAGAACUAUGGGCCAGGCACCGUGGCUCACGCCUGUAAUCCUAGCACUUUAGGAGGCUGAGGCAGGUGGAUUACCUGAGAUCAGGAGUUCAAGACCAGCCUGGCCAACAUAGUGAAACCCCAUCUCUACUAAAAAUACAAAAAAUCAGCCAGGUGCAGUGGCGCACGCCUGUAAUCCCAGCUACUCAGGAGGCUGAGGAAGGAGAAUCGCUUGAACCUGGGAGGCGGAGGUUGCCGUGAGCCGAGAUCAGGCCACUGCACUCCAGCCUGGGCAACUGAAGGAGGCUUUGUCUCAAAAAUAAAUAAAUAAAUAAAUAAAUAAAUAAAUAAAUAAAUAAAUAAAUAAAAAUAAAUAGAGAACUAUGAAUAUUUGGGGUUUUAAUUGUCAUUGCUGUUGUUUUAUAAAAGUUACUUUCUUUGAUGCCAGGUUAGUUCAGAGUGCUUAUCAAUCUCCUUUCUCAAUUCAUUUUAAGUGAGAAAAAAUCCUGACCAUUUUGAAUUAACAUAUUCUAUUGUCUUCUGAUAACUAAUAGUUAUUCAACGUAAUGAAAAGAGCUGCUUUUGUUUCAUAAUAUCAAUUGUGUGAAACUUAGUAAAAAAUAUUCUCUUCCUAUUUUUCAUGAAAGAUAGUUCCAGUAAUUGUUUCUAGAUCUUUAAUUGGUUUGGAAGAGAUAAGUAAAAUUAACCUUUCAAUACUUUGUAGAAAGUAGGACUCCAGAAGUUUAGAUUUCUACUAAUUAUAAAACAACUGCAACUCUGCUACUCCACAAACACAUCAAUAACAAGUUUUUAAUACCAAUUCACUGUAUCUCUGUUUUGGGAAAUUAUAUUUAAAAAUAAAGAAAACCUAUUUAAAG
rnacentral:lncRNA from 10 species